GUGGGGAAUAUUCCGCAAUGGACGAAAGUCUGACGGAGCAACGCCGCGUGAGUGAUGAAGGUUUUCGGAUCGUAAAGCUCUUUCGUUAGGGACGAACGUGCUCUUUGUGAAUAAUGAGGAGUAAUGACGGUACCUAAAUAAGAAGCCACGGCUAACUACGUGCCAGCAGCCGCGGUAAUACGUAGGUGGCAAGCGUUGUCCGGAAUUAUUGGGCGUAAAGCGCGCGCAGGCGGGAUAUCAAGUCUGUCUUAAAAGUGCGAGGCUCAACCUCGUGAGGGGACAGAAACUGGUAUUCUUGAGUGUCGGAGAGGAAAGUGGAAUUCCAAGUGUAGCGGUGAAAUGCGUAGAGAUUUGGAAGAACACCAGUGGCGAAGGCGACUUUCUGGACGAUGUCUGACGCUGAGGCGCGAAAGCUAGGGGAGCGAACGGGAUUAGAAACCCCUGUAGUCC
rnacentral:rRNA from 1 species